ensembl:lncRNA
ACUGGACCUACAUAUGGAAGAAAGAUGAUGAAGGGUUAUCUCGCUAUGAAAGGAGUGUAUGCUGCAGAGACACGAAUUGGAUCAGUGCUCAGAACCAUGCAUCAGCCAUACCAUGAAGCAAGACGUCAGGUCAAUUACUCCUCUCUAAUACAUAAUCAAAUAUGUGGAAUUUAUGUGUAAAUAUGAGAUAAUGUUUUUUUGUCUGUGUUUUUUUUGCUGUUUAGCUGCAGUUACUUAGAUUGUAUAAGAUUAAAAACUUACAGAUAUUUAUAGUAAGCCUAUAAUCAGAACAAACCCCUAAUUUUCAUUUUAUUUUUUUGACAGAGACACAAAUAGACAUUAGGUUAUAUUUGUUAAAUAUGCAGCCAUAUAGGACUAAUGAGAUUUUUUUGUGUGAAAUAGUUACAUCGUUUUCCUAUCUCUCUUAGGGUGCCCACAAUCUCAACCCCAUACCAUAUCAAGCUGAUUACAUGGGUCAAAAGGUUCAUAUGGACCAAAACGAAAAACUGGCUAUGUUUGGGGUUACCCAUGUUUUAGCCAUCGAUGGCUACAGCAAAAAGAUUGUUGCUCAUUCUACAAUGCCUAUAAAAAACAACCUUGCCAUCUAUGAAGAUGUUUUCAGGCCUGCAGUACUUGCCUAUGGUAUGUGGGACCAGGUACGAGUAGAUCAUGGCAAGGAGUUUUAUUUGACACUUUUCAUGCAGGAGCUGCUGUCAUCUCACCGCCAUAAUCAGGAGCGAAGGCCAUAUUUACAGACUUCAUCCACAAAGAAUCAUGUAGUUGAACGAAUCUGGCCUGAAGUCAACAAUCGUGUCAACUAUCCACUGAAGACAGCACUUAUGGGGUUGGUGGAUCAAGAGGAAAUAGACAUGAACGACAGCCUUGUGAGAUAUUGUGUGUCCAACCUUACUGGCCGCUUGUGUGAGAUUGGUCUUACAAGGCUGGUGGAGUCAUGGAAUGCUCAUAGAAUUCCAGGUGAAAUUACGGAUUACAAUUAUUACAAAAGGCAUUCACAAGUUUCUAUACCAACAGUAUGGUCUUUAUUUUACAGGUAA